rnacentral:tRNA from 1 species
UGAUUAGCUCAGUGGUAGAGCGCUUCGUUCACAUCGAAGAUGUCGGGGGUUCAAAUCCCUCAUCACC